rnacentral:rRNA from 1 species
UACGGAGGGUGCGAGCGUUGUCCGGAUUUACUGGGCGUAAAGAGCGCGCAGGCGGUCGUUCAAGUCGAGUGUGAAAGCCCCCGGCUCAACUGGGGAGGGUCAUUCGAUACUGAUCGACUCGAAGGCAGGAGAGGGUAGUGGAAUUCCCGGUGUAGUGGUGAAAUUCGUAGAUAUCGAGAGGAACACCGGUGGCGAAGGCGGCCUUCUGGUCUGUUCUUGACGCUGAGGCGCGAAAGCUAGAGGAGCAAACGGG